GAUGAAGAACGUAGCGAAAUGCGAUAAGUAGUGUGAAUUGCAGAAUUCAGUGAAUCAUCGAAUCUUUGAACGCACAUUGCGCCCCUUGGUAUUCCAUGGGGCAUGCCUGUUCGAGCGUCAUUUGUACCUUCAAGCUCUGCUUGGUGUUGGGUGUUUGUCUCGCCUCUGCGUGUAGACUCGCCUCAAAACAAUUGGCAGCCGGCGUAUUGAUUUCGGAGCGCAGUACAUCUCGCGCUUUGCACUCAUAACGACGACGUCCAAAAGUACAUUUUUACACUCUUGACCUCGGAUCAGGUAGGGAUACCCGCUGAAUUUAAGCAUAUCAUAAGCGGAGGA
rnacentral:misc_RNA from 1 species